UUCUUAUAAGCAAACUGCUUUUCUUAUUGAUAUUAUUUUAAAGUGAAAAGGAUAUGAUUGUCAAGAAACUUUAAUUUGAAAUUUUCAUGGUGCAAGGACUUGGAUGACCACUAAAGAAAUUUUCAAUUGUUUCUUUUCUUGCUAGGCAAUUGAAGAAGCUCAACAUCUAAAAAAGUUGAUACAAGACUAUAGUACUUCUUUCAUCAAAGUAAGAGAUAAGAUGGAUCCUGAUCGUAGUUGGAUGUAUAAUAGAAACAAUCCUGGUCGAGCGGAUUGAUUAGGUGUCCGUGUGUAUAUUG